GAAACACCCUGUGGAGACUCUGGGACUUGCCAGGAAAAGCUACUCUCCGGGAAUCUAUUCUGCUCUAACUUCCUCUCCUGAGUCCAAUGGCUGGAAGCCUUCAUUCCUGACUUCCUUGCUCGCUCACUGUCUUUCUUCUCUUUUCAUAAUUUCCUCCUCCACCUCAAGAGGCUCCAGCCCUGAAGCCAUGCACGACUGUAGCUCCUAUCUUUGGGGUUUGGUCCAAUACCCCAUUUUUCAAAGGCAUGGGAGUCCGGCUCUUUUCAGAGUUGGUCUGGAUCACAGAGCUGUGAUGAGAAAAGUGCAUCAUGGGUGCGGAACUUCAGGGGGGAAGGAUAAUGAGUUUGUUGUGACGUGGUUAUUUUCUUAGAUCGUACAACCAACGUGGUAAUGCUGGCAUAAUAAUUCCCGGUUGCCAUUUUCUGACAUUUGAAAAGAUCUGAAGAUACGCCCCUUGGAUGCCUGCAGAGAAGCUCUGGGGCUUCAGUCAAUGACUCAGGGUAGCCACCGAACAUGAUGCUCGGGCAGUGGGUGCCACCUGGACUCCACUCUCCCCUCUCUCUGGGAUCAUAGAGUCCAAGGUGUUCUGUGGCCUCUCGGCCAAUCCCAGCAGCUCAGCGUGCAGAAGACCGAGGAGCCAUUGGUCAGUGUAGGAGGUGCCUGGAGUUUUGGAGAUGGGAUCCACAGGAAUUCAACACAACACGAAAUAAUCAACAAAUUCGGGGAAUGUUAAUCUGACCAUCACCAGUUACAAAUGAUGUUUCAUGCUACCUUCUAUUCCUGCCUUCAUAAAUCAAGCUCUAAAUCUCCAGGAAAAAAUGUGCUCAGGAUGGCCAGAGAAAUGUCCUUCCAACUGUGCAUGGAAAGGUAUGAUUUUGUGCAGCAGGUGAAGGACUGGUUAGAGUAAGUGUGUGCUGAGCUUUUGUGUUUGAAAGCGAGCCUGUGCACUUCUAACGAUUGGAAGGUUUCCUUGCCUUCUCCGAUCUUACACACAGCAAGGACAGCAAAGCCUUCCAGACCUGCCUGUGACAUGCACUGCACAUUCUAAAGAUGCCUAUGCAAUGGAAAACACCACUGUCUGCUCCAGCACAGCUGCCAUUCUUCCAUCUUAUCGACCUUAAUGCAACAACUCCUCACAGGCAGAGAUUUUAAAAUGUGUUCUUGGCAGAAGAGAGACUCAAAGAUGGGACAAAUGUGUCAUUUAAAUGCCUGUUAAAAUGGAAACAGACAUAGUAUAGUCAGAGGAUUGUGGCAGCUAAGAACAUAGUCUCUGGAGCAAAUCUGCAUGGGUGGCAAUGCCAAGCACAUGAGGUCCUAGUUGUAUGAACUUAGGAAAAGAAAAAGAGAACAUAUAUCCCCCUACCUUUUGAUUUCCAACAGUCUACUGAGAGGCCAAGAUUAUUUGCAGGGAAAGAAAAGGGGAAUGCCAUCCCCACCCUCUCGCAGCUACGUGCCAGUUCCAGAGCACCUGUUCCCCUCUACUUUGAAAAGGUCAAAAUGUUUUGCCAGUAACUCCCAAAUCAUCUACAGCCAAGGAGAAAAGUGUUUCAAGACAGAGGUGCUCAAUGGUAUCAAAUACUGCCAACAGACCAAGUAAUACAUGCAUUGAAGUGUCUACUGGAUCUAGCUAUAUGAAUUUUUAAUUUAGGACACUUAGGCCAUACUGAAGCAAGGUGACAAAAUGAAUAGCUACAAUGUCUCGUGAAUCUUGGGUUUCCAUUCACCCUGGUAUUCAAGAGAAAUUCUUGCAUCAUGGAAGUUGCAGUUGGAUAGGACUUUCUCAGCUGAACACUGUCAUCUGCCAGAGCUUCAGGCAAGAACCCAGAACAGAUGAAACCCCAGACAUGACAAAAUAAGCCAAAGAAUACCAGGCCAAGGUGUGAAAGGCCAGAUGAGAACAAGCAGCGUACACGAUUCUGUUGCCAACAGAUCUCCCCUAACAGUGUCGUGCACCAAAUUUCCACAGUGAAUGUCAGGAAAAAAUGGCAAUUGAGGUGGGUGGUCAAAAGAGAAGCACAGUCUAUGAUGAAGUCACCCCAGAGAAGUCCUUUUUCCGUUUUCUCCUGAGAAAUUACCAGAAGAAAUUAAAAUCCU
rnacentral:lncRNA from 1 species